CCUACGGGGGGCAGCAGUGGGGGAUAUUGCACAAUGGGGGGAACCCUGAUGCAGCGACGCCGCGUGGGUGAAGGAGCGUUUCGGCGCGUAAAGCGCUAUCGGCAGGGAAGAAGAUGACGGUACCUGACCAAGAAGCCUCGGCUAACUACGUGCCAGCCGCCGCGGUAAUACGUAGGGGGCAAGCGUUAUCCGGAGUUACUGGGUGUAAAGGGGUGGCAGACGGCAAUGCAAGCCAGGGGUGAAAGCCUGGGGCCAAACCCCGGGACUGCUCUUGGAACUGCAUGGCUGGAGUACGGGAGGGGCAGGCGGAAUUCCUAGUGUAGCGGUGAAAUGCGUAGAUAUUAGGAGGAACACCGGUGGCGAAGGCGGCUUGCUGGACUGUGACUGACGUUGAGGCCCGAAGGCGUGGGGAGCAAACAGGAUUAGAUACCCGAGUAGUC
rnacentral:rRNA from 1 species